rnacentral:tRNA from 1 species
GGGCCAUUAGCUCAGUUGGUAGAGCAACAGACUCUUAAUCUGUGGGUCGCUGGUUCGAGGCCGGCAUGGCUCA